rnacentral:rRNA from 1 species
GUUAGCCUACGGGACGCAGCAGUGAGGAAUAUUGGUCAAUGGCCGUAAGGCUGAACCAGCCAAGUAGCGUGAGGGAAGACUGCCCUAUGGGUUGUAAACCUCUUUUAUGCGGGGAUAAAGGUGUCCACGUGUGGAUGGUUGCAGGUACCGCAUGAACAAGGACCGGCUAAUUCCGUGCCAGCAGCCGCGGUAAUACGGACGAUCCGGGCGUUAUCCGGAUUUAUUGGGUUUAAAGGGAGCGUAGGCCGGACUUUAAGCGUGCCGUGAAAUUUUGUGGCUCAACC